CGUGUAGGCGGUGCGGUAAGUUGGGCGUGAAAUCCCCGAGCUUAACUCGGGUGGGCCGUUCAAGACUGCCGUGCUAGGGUGCGGGAGAGGGAAGUGGAAUUUCCGGUGUAGCGGUGAAAUGCGUAGAUAUCGGGAGGAACACCUGCGGCGAAGGCGGCUUCCUGGACCGUAACCGACGCUGAGGCGCGAAAGCUAGGGGAGCAAACAGGAUUAGAUACCCUGGUAGUCCUAGCCCUAAACGAUGAGCACUGGGUGUGGCCCUCACGGGGCCGUGCCGAAGCUAACGCAUUAAGUGCUCCGCCUGGGGAGUACGGUCGCAAGGCUGAA
rnacentral:rRNA from 1 species